rnacentral:tRNA from 1 species
AGCCCUGUGGCACAGUGGUUUAAAUGCCUGUACUGCAGCCACUCACUCAUAGACCACAAGGUUUCGAGUUCAAUACUAGCCAGGGCUC